GACGAACGCUGGCGGCGUGCUUAACACAUGCAAGUCGAACGAAGUGGCGAACGGGUGAGUAACGCGUAAUCAACCUGCCCUUCAGGGGGGGACAACAGUUGGAAACGACUGCUAAUACCACAUACUUAAGGAGGGGAAUGCGGCUGGUUGGCUAGUUGGGGGGGGAACGGCCCAUCAAGGCGAUGAUCAGUAGCCGGUCUGAGAGGUGGAACGGCCACAUUGGGACUGGGGCACGGCCCAGAACCCUACGGGAGGCAGCAGUGGGGAAUCCUCCGCAAUGGGCGGAAGUCCGACGGGGCAACGCCGCGGGAGUGAUGACGGCUUUCGGGUUGUAAAGCUCUGUUAAUCGGGACGCGGUACCGGAAUAGAAAGCCACGGCUAACUACGUGCCAGCAGCCGCGGUAAUUC
rnacentral:rRNA from 1 species